rnacentral:rRNA from 1 species
UGGGGAAUCUUGGACAAUGGGGGCAACCCUGAUCCAGCGAUGCCGCGUGAGCGAAGAAGGCCUUAGGGUUGUAAAGCUCUUUCGCCCGCGACGAUGAUGACGGUAGCGGGAGAAGAAGCCCCGGCUAACUCCGUGCCAGCAGCCGCGGUAAUACGGAGGGGGCUAGCGUUGUCCGGAAUUACUGGGCGUAAAGCGCGCGUAGGCGGUCCACCAAGUCGGGGGUGAAAGCCCGGGGCUCAGCCCCGGAAUGUCCUCCGAGACUGUUGGACUGGAGUUCGGGAGAGGAGAGCGGAAUUCCCAGUGUAGAGGUGAAAUUCGUAGAUAUUGGGAAGAACACCGGUGGCGAAGGCGGCUCUCUGGCCCGCAACUGACGCUGAGGCGCGAAAGCGUGGGGAGCAAACA